rnacentral:siRNA from 1 species
GGAUUUAUCUGUAUCUACCGCUGC